UGGGGAAUUUUGCACAAUGGGGGAAACCCUGAUGCAGCGACGCCGCGUGAUUUAGAAGGCCUUCGGGUUGUAAAAAUCUUUUUUACGGGAUGAAAAUGACAGUACCGUAAGAAUAAGGUCCGGCUAAAUACGUGCCAGCUGCCGCGGUAAUACGUAUGGACCGAGCGUUGUCCGGAAUCAUUGGGCGUAAAGGGUACGGAGGCGGCCUAGUAAGUUAGAAGUGAAAUAAUAUAGCUCAACUAUAUAAAGCUUUUAAAACUGCUAGGCUUGAGAGAUGGAAGGGAAAGUGGAAUUCCUAGUGUAGCGGUGAAAUGCGCAGAUAUUAGGAAGAAUACCGGUGGCGAAGGCGACUUUCUGGUCAUCAUCUGACGCUGAGGUACGAAAGCGUGGGUAGCAAACAGG
rnacentral:rRNA from 1 species